ensembl:lncRNA
AAGGAUGGACUCAGCCGACUCAGACUCAGUGCUCAGAUGCAGUUUGAGCAAACAAGCCUCCUCUCUCUGCCUCGUGACAAGGGAAAUAGAGGAGCAAGGGAGAAGUUCCCUGAAGUUCCUGAACCUGCUGUUGGGACAAUUCGAGCAGCUCCUGGAUCGUUGGGAUUCCCUCGCUGCACCUCCCUCUCCAGCUCCGGUUCCAUGCCGCCUGGAUUCCGGCUCCAGGGUUUCAGCUUCACUCACCAAUACUGCUCUGGCUUCAGCUCCGACUCCACGUCUCCUGCCUCCCGCCUUCAGGACAGCCGCAGCCGCCCUAGGAAGAGCUUCUGACGCUGCCGCCCCUGAAGUAGCCUCCGUUGCUACCGCCCCAGAAGCAGCCUCUGACGCUGCCGCCUCCGAGGUCGUCGCUGCUGCCCCAGAUGUAGCCUCCGUCGCUACCACUCCCAAAGCAGCCUCUGCCUCUCCCGAAGCAGCUUCUGAUGCUGCCACCCCCGAAGCAGCCUCUGACGCUGCCGCCCCCGACGUAGCCUCUGUCGCUACCACCGCAGAAGCAGUCUUUGAUGCCACUGACGUAGCCUCCGUCGCUACCGCUCUCGAAGCACCCACUGCUGCCCCCGACGUAGCCUCUGACGCUGCCGCCCCAGAAGCAGCCUCUGACGCUGCCGCCCCCGACAUAGCCUCUAUCGCUACCACCCCAGAAGCAGCCUCUGACGCUACCGCCCCCGACGUAGCCUCUGUCGCUACCACCCCAGAAGCUGCCUCUGAUGCCACUGACGUAGCCUCCGUCGCUACCGCUCCCGAAGUACCCACUGCUGCCCCCGACGUAGUCUCUGUUGCUAGCAACCCCGAAGCAGCCUCUGUCGCUGCUGUCCCUGAAGCAGCCUCUGAUGCCACUGACGUAGCCUCCGUCGCUACCGCUCCCGAAGCACCCACUGCUGCCCCCGACGUAGCUUCUGUUGCUAGCAACCCCGAAGCAGCCUCUGUCGCUGCUGUCCCUGAAGCAGUCUCUGAAGAAAUUGCUGAUGGUGACGCCACUGAGGCCUACGCCACAGCAGAACCAGCCGCCGCAGAUCAAGCCGCCGCUCUCCCUGCAGACCCGGCCGUCGCUGACCCUGCAGACCCGGCCGUCGCUGACCCUGCAGACCCAGCCGUCGCUGACCCAGCAGACCCAGCCGACGCUCACCCAGCUUGUGCGUACCCUACAGCCAGCGCUGCCGACCCGGACCCCGCAGCCACCGCUGCCGACCCGCACCCCGCAGCUGACCCGGACCCUGCUGCCACAGCUGCCAACCAAGAUCCUCCAGCAUCCGUUUCCGAUGCAGGCCCAGCAGCACCCUCUGCCGAGACCGGUCCAGCAGCACCUUCUGAUGGCGUCGCUGCUGAGGGCUCUGCUGUUCCAAGCGCCCCUGGCCGGAGUGCCCCUGUCCCGAGCGCCCCUGUCCCGAGCGCCCCUGUCCCGAGCGCCCCUGUCCCGAGCGCCCCUGUCCCGAGCGCCCCUGUCCCGAGCGUCCCAGGCGCCCCUGUCCCGAGCGUCCCAGGCUCCCCUGU